AAAACGACGCCGUUCAAAAGCCUUUCUUUCUGUAACUUUGCUUUUCCUUCGCGCCUGUUUUUGUGUUUUCCUCCAGCUUCUCACCCUAAUCUUCUGAAAGAAAUAAACAUAUCCAGCGCCGUCUCACCGCCUUCGGAGCAUCAUACCGCCAUUCCGCCGCCGUCGCUCCCUUCAUCAGGUCCGGAGAACCCAGUGGUACCAAUCCGACAGCGUGGGGUGGCCCGCAGCCAAAGAUAGGCCUGGGUUCACCACGGACUAAUCAACUGCAACUUCCGUCGUUUAUGCCUCACUAAAGCAUAGUCAGCUCCAGAUGACAUCCAUUGCUUUUUCAGGAUCUGCAGAAAGUUGGGUCACUAACAUGUUGAGAAAUCAGAUUUGCAAAUCAUAUUUUUUUGCGUUUUUUAAUGUGUUUUUUUCCCUCUUUCCAUAUGGAUUAUUGUAUCUGGGAUCUCUUUUGCAGAGACUGGUAUUAAAUAUAAAUCUGAAAAUGGAAAACCAUUUUCCCAAGGAAAGUCAAUUCGUGGUUUUAAUCAUCAAAAUUUGAAAUUGAACAGUUAAUUUCCCAACUCUUUUGCAAUUAAAUCAAAAUCAUCUUUGUCGAAUCUCUGAUCUUAGAUAUGACUGAGGUAUGUUAAUGCUAAUCAGAAAUGCCAUUUCUCUUUCUAUUUUGAAAUUUGAUAAUUGGCUAUAUGUUGUCUUUUCUUAUUGAGAAAUUGAAAUGGCACUUAAUAAAGCCAAAUCGAUCUCCACUUUUGUUCCAGUCGUCGUUUAAUGUCUUCGUUUUUUUGUUUACAAUAAAAAACAUACUGUGGUUAUUGCAAUAGGUUCAAGCAGCUGCUGACACAGUUAGGAGCAGGUUUCAAGGUCAUUGAACUGGAUGAGGAAAGUGAUGGAGCUGAAAUUCAAUCAGCUUUAGCAGAGUGGACUGGACUGAACUAAGGACUGUACCUGACGUGUUUAUUGGUUGUAGUGAUUAUAAGGCCAAACUCCACAUUGCUGUUGCUUGAUUUCAAUUUUGUUCUCGAGGAUCAUUACUUGGCUAUAACAAUAAAUUGAUCGUUGGAAAAAUGAACACAGAUGUCAAAACGAAAUCAAUCCUUUUAUUUUAUUGCUUUGUUUUGAUUGAACCCUUGGUAUGUAGUGAUUGGUAUUUGAUGGGGACAUCUGCUUCAGAUCCUGAUGGUACAUAUGAAUAUGAUCUUCGUAAUACUCUUAUGUACACUUUGUUUCUUCGUUUAGCUUAUUAUUAUUAUUAUUAUUAUUUUGCUGAACUAGCUUAUUUUCUGUUGUAGCAAUUUUGGUUCUUAAUUCUAAAUUGUUAACUUCUAAUCCAUUGGCUGAGAAUUGAGUGAUCUAGAGUGUGAGACAAGGCAUAAGAGAUUGUGUUGGUGACCCGGUUGGCCUCAAUAAAAUAUCUGGGUCAAAGCAAAGGAGGGGAAGUGCUGUGGGAGCAGGUGCUAAUUCUUCAUGUAGACAUUGUCCAAGGAGGCAUCCAGCAUUAGGUUUUCUUUUCUAGCUUGAAUUUCAAAACAUGAGCAUGUUUCAUUUCCCCUGGCUUUUAUCAUGGUCAUCAAUGCAAAUUUUUUUCUCAAUGGUUUAGGUAUAUGUACUGUGCAAGAUAAAAUAUUUCGUCUCUUUUAUUUUAGUUAUUACUAAUUUUUCCACUAUUGUUACUUUUCCUUCUGUACAUCCUAUAAUGUGAAAAAUUAUUUUGUACUUUUUACAUAUGAGUUUUUGGAGCUGAUUGCUAAGUCAUUUAAGAAUUUCAAGGUUCUGGUGCUUUCUUCGUGUGAGGGUUUCUCCACUGAUGAACUUGCUGCCAAUUGCAGUUCAAUGUAAAGAAGGAUGUAGCUGAGCACAUAAAGAAGGAAUUCAAUAGGAGGCAUAGACCGGCUUGGCAUUGCUUGGCUGGUCAGAAUUUUGGUAACCUCAUUUGAACCGUAUUCUUUUUGUGGGGCAUUUAUUUUAUUUUUCUCAGAUUUGAAGCUUUGUGUUGCUAUUUUUUCUUUGAUAUUGAAGUGUUUUCAUGUGCAAGGAUUUAUGCUUUUGGUUCCCAAUUCAAUUCAUUAUUUGCUGGACGACUGAUGCUAUUUCUAUAAUUAAAGCAUGGAAUACUUAGAUCUAAGCUUAGAUUAGAUGUUAUUUACUUAUAUCUAUGUUCAUUGCCAAUAUUGCAUGUAUGGUUUUCUCCUCUUUACUUUUGCUUGAUUGUCAGUAUAAGCUUCAGCUUGAGGCUUGCCUUUUGCAAUUAUUUUUUUAACAAAAGGAUCAUAAAAGCUUGCAUUUUUUUUCUCUCACGCUAAUGUGAAUAUAAUGGGUUGAAUAAAAUUGUGAUGUAGCAGGUGUGGUUUGAUUUAUUUGUAUUCUUUAUUCCUGUAUAUUUUUUGUUUAGCCGUAGGAUUUGGUGUAAUGUACAGGAUUAGCACUUUGUAGAUGAGAGUUUAAACUUCGAUAUGGUUGAAGCAAUGACAUGUGACUCUUGCUUCUUCUCCUCCUUUUUGACGUGUGGAUCAUACAUGCACAAACAGGAAAGUCAAAUCCAGCAGUUGAAACUCCGAAUAAAUUUGGGGCAAAUCUAUUUCCUCUGAUACUUAAUUCAGUGGACGUCCAACUUCUAGACUUGAUUUGUUUAUGAACUAGAUGCACAGUUUAAAAUAAAUAACCUCCAGGAAUCCUUAACUUGGAUUUUAACUGGAACCAUCAUUUGAUUUCUCAAUUUAGUUGACUCUUAGAAAAAAGUUACUGGCUAAAAUCAGUAAAUUCAACCAUAUGUUCCUUGUUUAUAUCA